rnacentral:lncRNA from 1 species
UGAUGGGGUACCCCAUCACCGCCGAAAACUAUGUGACGGAUCUAUAACCAGCCUGAAGGUGGUUUUGGAGCCGGCAAUGAUGUUGGUCUGUGGAGUAGUGUUGGUUGCCUUUCCCUGGAUCACCUGGUCAGUGCAUGCGGAUCUUCCAAAUCUCUCAUGAUUGACGUCUCUGAUAUGUGUAGUAGUUUUCUUAUGACUCAUUAUUGGAGAUGUGAUGCCCAUAAUCCCGUCUCAUUGGAGUAUUUUCUAAAACCCACGGCUCUCACGUGUAUGCACCCAUCAACCCUCUCACAUGCAUGCAUCAAUCAUAUAUCACAG